rnacentral:rRNA from 1 species
AGCAGUCGCCGCGGGAAUACGGAGGGGGCUAGCGUUGUUCGGAAUUACUGGGCGUAAAGCGCACGUAGGCGGCUUUGUAAGUUAGAGGUGAAAGCCCGGAGCUCAACUCCGGAAUUGCCUUUAAGACUGCAGAGCUAGCAGGUGAGAGAGGUGAGUGGAAUUCCGAGUGUAGAGGUGAAAUUCGUAGAUAUUCGGAAGAACACCAGUGGCGAAGGCGGCUCACUGGCUCAUACUGGACGCUGAGGUGCGAAAGCGUGGGGAGCAAACAGGAUUAGAUACCCCCGUAGUCCCUGUCUCUUAUAC